UGAUCCGGGCUCCGUUGUGAAGGUGCUUCAGCAUGUGGUGGCACUGGGAGUCUCUGACCGCCCGGCCGAAGGUCUUCUCCAGGGAGAGGCGGCUGGAGAGGCCGUCGGAGUAGUGCAGGGAGGAGCCUUGGGCCCGACCUGUGGGAAACCAAGACGACGACGACGACAAUGAAGACGUAACCUCGGUGGAGAACAUUCACCUGCUUGCUCUUGGAAAAGACUCCUGGACCAAAUGAAAUGUGAAAUUUACUUUCAUCUGAAAAGAGAGGACGUUGGACCUCUGAGCAACGGCCCAGUUCUUUUUCUCCACAGCCCAGUCCAGGGUGAUGAGGUCACUCGGUUACGGAUCUGUCGUGUGGCCGGCAUAUUCAUUUCUUCACCGCAGCCCUGCAGCUGACAUCGGCGGACAUGCUUUGUUUCGUAGCCCUGUUUUGCCUCAAACCUGAAAAAAAGAUCACAAUCCUGAAAAAGUCCAGGCCUCGUCUCUGGAGGAUGUCAAGAAGCAUUGUGGGAGGAAAGA